UUUUAUUUUUGUAUUUUUUAUUUAUAUUGUAUAUUAUUUCUGUAUUUUUUGUGUUGUUUAUAUAUUAUUUAUAUGUUGCAUUUAUUUUGUUUGUGGAUUAUUUAUUUGAACAUUAUAUUGUUUCUAAAUUAGUUUUGCGUUGUUUAUAUAUUAUUCAUAUAUUACAUCUAUUUUGUUUGUGAAUUAUUUAUUUAUAAUGUAUAUUGUUUCUAUAUUAUUUUUUGUAUUGUUUAUAUAUUAUUUAUAUAUUGCAUCUAUUUUGUUUGUGGAUAAGCAUAUGUUCUCACAUAACGGUGUAGGGUAAAAUGUAACCAUGUAGAAACAAAGAAGGAUAGCAUAAGGUAUACAAUACAAUAUGAAUAGAGAAAUGAUAAACAUAAUCUAGACACCUACUGUUCUUCCUUGUCCAUCGGGGCGCACCUAGGGUAAGAAAUUGUGUGGGAUGCUACGCUUAACAUUUCUUAUCUUCAUUGGAUGGUCUAUAAAGAGAGCCAUGUCGUUGAACUGGUUAAAAUUCUCUAGAUUAGAUACACCAUCGAUUCCUAUAGCUUGUUGCUUUAUAGGGAAAAUUACAUGUUUGGGCUUAUCUGUACUUUUCUUUUCAUUCUUAGAAAGGAUUUGUUCAUUAUAGAAAACCUACGUAGCACAGUUAGCAAGGAUCCACGGGUUAUCUUUGUAACCUACCUUACUUAGAUCAAGAACUCUGACCCUAUAGUUAUCCACUGUGUCAUGUUUGUCUUCGACCUAUUGACAUCAAAACACGGGGACCUGAAAUGCACCAUAGUCUAGUUCCCAUAUGUCCUCAGUGAAGCCAAAGUAUAUACUAAUCUCACCAGUUUCAUCAUCUAUGGUCUCGCAUCGAACACCGUUGUUUGGUACCAUGCUCUUUUUGUCCUUAGACUUGGUACAAAACGUGAAGCCACUAAUAUCAUAGGUCUGCCAC
rnacentral:lncRNA from 1 species